rnacentral:rRNA from 1 species
GAUGAACGCUAGCGACAGGCUUAACACAUGCAAGUCGAGGGGCAGCGGGGGUAGCGAUACCCGCCGGCGACCGGCGCACGGGUGAGUAACGCGUAUGCAACUUGCCUAUCAGAGGGGGAUAACCCAGCGAAAGUCGGACUAAUACCGCAUGAAGCAGGGGCCCCGCAUGGGGAUAUUUGCUAAAGAUUCAUCGCUGAUAGAUAGGCAUGCGUUCCAUUAGGCAGUUGGCGGGGUAACGGCCCACCAAACCGACGAUGGAUAGGGGUUCUGAGAGGAAGGUCCCCCACAUUGGUACUGAGACACGGACCAAACUCCUACGGGAGGCAGCAGUGAGGAAUAUUGGUCAAUGGGCGUAAGCCUGAACCAGCCAAGUCGCGUGAGGGAUGAAGGUUCUAUGGAUCGUAAACCUCUUUUAUAAGGGAAUAAAGUGCGGGACGUGUCCCGUUUUGUAUGUACCUUAUGAAUAAGGAUCGGCUAACUCCGUGCCAGCAGCCGCGGUAAUACGGAGGAUCCGAGCGUUAUCCGGAUUUAUUGGGUUUAAAGGGUGCGUAGGCGGCCUUUUAAGUCAGCGGUGAAAGUCUGUGGCUCCACCAUAGAAUUGCCGUUGAAACUGGGGGGCUUGAGUAUGUUUGAGGCAGGCGGAAUGCGUGGUGUAGCGGUGAAAUGCAUAGAUAUCACGCAGAACCCCGAUUGCGAAGGCAGCCUGCCAAGCCAUUACUGACGCUGAUGCACGAAAGCGUGGGGAUCAAACAGGAUUAGAUACCCUGGUAGUCCACGCAGUAAACGAUGAUCACUAGCUGUUUGCGAUACACUGUAAGCGGCACAGCGAAAGCGUUAAGUGAUCCACCUGGGGAGUACGCCGGCAACGGUGAAACUCAAAGGAAUUGACGGGGGCCCGCACAAGCGGAGGAACAUGUGGUUUAAUUCGAUGAUACGCGAGGAACCUUACCCGGGUUUGAACGCAUUCGGACCGAGGUGGAAACACCUUUUCUAGCAAUAGCCGUUUGCGAGGUGCUGCAUGGUUGUCGUCAGCUCGUGCCGUGAGGUGUCGGCUUAAGUGCCAUAACGAGCGCAACCCUUGCCACUAGUUACUAACAGGUAAAGCUGAGGACUCUGGUGGGACUGCCAGCGUAAGCUGCGAGGAAGGCGGGGAUGACGUCAAAUCAGCACGGCCCUUACAUCCGGGGCGACACACGUGUUACAAUGGCGUGGACAAAGGGAGGCCACCUGGCGACAGGGAGCGAAUCCCCAAACCACGUCUCAGUUCGGAUCGGAGUCUGCAACCCGACUCCGUGAAGCUGGAUUCGCUAGUAAUCGCGCAUCAGCCAUGGCGCGGUGAAUACGUUCCCGGGCCUUGUACACACCGCCCGUCAAGCCAUGGGAGCCGGGGGUACCUGAAGUCCGUAACCGAAAGGAUCGGCCUAGGGUAAAACUGGUGACU